UACAGAGGUCCCAAGCGUUGUUCGGAUUCAUUGGGCGUAAAGGGUGCGUAGGCGGCGCGGUAAGUCGGGUGUGAAAUCUCGGAGCUUAACUCCGAAACUGCAUUCGAUACUGCCGUGCUUGAGGACUGGAGAGGAGACUGGAAUUUACGGUGUAGCGGUGAAAUGCGUAGAUAUCGGGAGGAACACCAGUGGCGAAGGCGGCGACCUGGGCCAAUAUUGACGCUGAGGUGCGAAAGCGUGGGGAGCAAACAGG
rnacentral:rRNA from 1 species